rnacentral:lncRNA from 1 species
ACACACACACACACACACACACACAUGGUUUCUGUCUGUGUGUUGUAGCCCUGGCUGUCCUGGAACUCACUCUGCACACUUCUGCCUUCUGAGUGCUGGGAUUUUAGAUGUGUGCCACCAUGCCUGCCUUAGAGGGUAUCCUUUUAAAGACCAAGUCUUUUCACUGUGUACAGGUUGAGCUUACAUUCAGUAGAGUGACAUUCAAGACAAAGAGAUUUUACUACUUCUCAGUGUGAUGCACUGUCUGAAAGUUCUGGUUAAAAUUGUGGAAAUGAAAUUUCACAUCCAUUUGGUGAUUUAUAGAGACAACAACACUUCCACAUUUCCACAGUACACUUAGUAGACUCUGUUUCCUAUCACAUGUCAAAUUUUAGAGUGCUGCUACAGUGGAAUGUAUUUUCCAGAUUAUCUUUUUGAGUAGGAAGAAAAAAAAGUGGACAAAUGAGAUUUUCUUUUUCUGACUUAGUAUUAGGUAGAUAAGCCACCAGAUAAAGCAAUAGAGAGAUAGAAGUAAUAGAAUUUUGUAUAUAUUUUUUAAAACAUAUCUUUAAAAAAAAGAGAUUUAUUUAUUUCUGUAUGUGAGUACAGUGCAGCUGUCUUCAGACAUACCAGAAGAGGGCAUCAGAUCUCAUUACAGAUGGUUGUGAGCCACCAUGUGGUUGCUGGGAAUUGAACUCAGGACCUCUAGAAGAACAGUCAGUACUCUAUACACUGAACCAUCUGUCCAGCCCAAAAUUUGUAUAUUUAUAUAAGAUCUAGUAUAUAGGAAAUACAUUAGGGAUUCAAACAGAAAGUUCUAGUUAGGUGAUGGUAAGUUGAAAGUUUAGCAUAUGGACCAGAAUGGCUCACAUCUGGAAACCCAGCAGUUAGGGGUCAUGGCAGAAGAAUUGUUACAAGCUUGUUGUCACCCUGGGAUUUACAGUGUGUUCAAGAGAAACUUGGCUGACAGAGUUAACAGCGUAUCGCACCAGCACCAUCACUGUGCCAGCACUAGCUUCAGUGACACAAUUUAGCCCAAGAAGCACUUUAGUCAUACCUAGGAGGAAGUUAGUUUUCACCUAGAACUUGAACAUUAUGCUCUCCAAUUUUGUUCUUUUUUAUUGUCCAUUCCACAUGCCUUUGUCAUAAGGUAUAAUUUGGCUGCUUUCAGAGCCCAUGCUAUUAUUUCAUGUGUUGUAGAUUUUGGGACAAUUAGAAUGGGUUGUUGGUUGUGAAUAGUCAGAAAAGAAUGUAUAAUCUUGAGACAAAAUCCCUCCUUUACUAGUUGGGAAGAAGAGGAUCAGUGGGAAUGGGAGGGAGACAAGAGAGGAGAAUGGAGGAAUAUGGCUAAAAUCCGUUAUAUAUGUCCCAAUGGAGAAAAUUGUAUGAAAACACACCAAUGAACCCCACUAUUAUGAACAAUUAAUAUGCUAUUACAAAAUGUUAAGAAAGCAGUUUUUUUGGAGAUCCACAUAGUUAAGGUGGGCUUGUAUAUCACAACUGUAAUCAUGGAACUUAGAAGGAUUGGGCUGGAGGGUUGCUACAAGUUCAAAGCCUGAUCAUGCUAUAUUGCCUAUCCAGGUCAACCUAGCCUAAAGAGUGAGACAUCUCAAACAAACAAACAAACAAACAAACCUGAGUGGUCAAAUGGUCUUUUAGUUGGUGUUUGUGUCACUAUUGUGUAUAUCUUCUACACUCUGAUUUUAAAUAUAAAAAAAUGCCUGAUGUUAACAACUGGAGGGACUAUGUUUGUUUAGAUGAAAUGUUUAUGAUAUAAGAGGAUUUUUUUCAUGAUUUAAUCAGCUGUGCUUUUCAGGAAAAUGAUGCGGAACAAAUAGAAAGAGGAUGAAAAGUAUGAGUUCAUUUAAGGCAUGUAUGAAGGAAAAGUAAACAUUAAAUGGAUGCUAUUUGGUGUGUCAUUCAGUCGAGAUUUAUUUCUGUGGUCAGUGCUUAAAGUAAAUUUUCCAUGAAAUUAAUGCUACUGCUCUUUCUGUCUGGGUGAAAAAGGUAAAAACAAAAACAAACAAACAAACAAAAAAACCCCAAACCCCACAAUGAUUGAUUGAGAGGCUCAUGAUUUUCUAGGUAGCAAACUGUCACAUGAAAAUAGACUAUAAAAUAAUGAAUAUUUACUGUUUAAUCCUUCUAUCAGAAGGAAAUGCUCUCUGAAUAUUUCUCCCCUCUCUACCAUGUAAGCUGUCAGAAUGGAACAGUUGGAAUGUAUACUACAUUAUUUUGGUUUAACUAACAAAGAGCGAUAAGACAUGAAUUAUUUGUGACAGCCCCGAACAUUGAUAACAGAAGACAAUAAUGCCUGCAGACACAGCCUACAUCAUAAAAAUCUGGAAGCAAAAAUGCUUAUUAUGUUAGGCCAACGUGCUUUGACCUAGUUUUGCUUUUCUGCUUGGAAAUUAUGUCAGUAUUAGUUACAUCAUCCCCUCGGAUGAGCAAUUUCACAUUUUUGUUUAUUUCAGGGUCAUGUUAUUAAUUUUGUAUAUUUAGUUCUGACCUUCCUAGAGCCAGACUAAUCCUUAUUGACUUGUAUUUUCUUUUGAAAAAUGAGACUUCUGGGAUCCAGAGAGGGGGGAUUUUAUGUAUUAAGAAAACAAUCUAAGAUGCAUCAUCAGAGGCAUUCAUUUCUGCUUGUUCCAUAGCCACUGCCCUCUUGAAGGAUCCAAUAGAACAUCCACUUUUUUGUCCUUGUAGUGUCUUUCUUGCUUUGUUCUGUGGAGACACAAUAAAUUAUGUUGCCCAAGAGUGCUAUACUUGACAUAAUUGACUGCCAUAGUUAACAAAAAGUAAAACAAGGUAGAAAAGACAUUUCCCAGCCCGGCAUUCUUCAAUUUAGCCCUUUCAUGCCUCCUUUUUGCUUGUUCAUCCAGUAGAAACUGACUUAACAUAUUUUUCUUAUUUAGGAUUUCUACUGAAUAUAAUUCAAAAUGAAUUGCUUCCUUGGUUGAUUUCAAACACAUUUUUUCCAGCCAUUUAAUACUUUCUAUCAUUAGAGGAAAGAGUCAUUUAAUUCUUUCAUACAUUUAUGAAUUCUAAUCUUCAAAGAGUGAGAGUUCUUCUAGUGAUCAACUUACAUCAGAUUUACAAGUAUAAUUUGCUACCAAAAGACCCUGAACAGUUUUUUUUUUUUUUUUGAUCCGCGUGUUUCCAAAUUCCUUAUUAACAAAUGCAAUCAGGCAACAACACAAAAGAAUAUGAAGUUGUGGUUCUUCUGAAAAAAAAAAAAAUUCUACUAUUUGCUCUUGUUUUCUAAUUAAGGUUUUGAAUGCUAAGAAUCUCUUUGUUGUUAGUGCCUUUGCAAAUCCUCUCUACCUGAAUGAAGACAAAAAAACC